CUCGAAGACAGGCGCCCUAUUAGCGUCAUCAAAUUGUUGCGGUAAAAAAGCUCGUAGUUGGAUUUCUGCGGGGAACGACCGGUCCACUCAACGAGUGCGUAUCUGGUUCGGUCUCUGCAUCCUCUCGAAAGACGUUUCUGCGCUUGAUUGCGUGGUUCGGAUCUCGGGACUUUUACUUUGAGGAAAUUAGAGUGUUCACGGCAGGCUAUCGCCAGAAUACAUUAGCAUGGAAUAAUACUAUAGGAUCUGAAUCUUAUUUUGUUGGUUCCUUUGAUUUAGAUAAUGACUAAUAGGGACAAUUGGGGGCAUUCGUAUGAUGACGUCAGAGGUGGAAUUCUUAGAUUGUCAUCCGACGAACGACUGCGAAAGCAUUUGCCAAGGAUGUUUUCAUUGAUCAAGAACGAAAGUUAGGGAAUCGAAGACGAUUAGAUACCGUCGUAGUCUUAACCAUAAACUAUGCCAACUAGAAAUUGGAGCAUCUUCUCUUUCGAGGGCUUCAGCGUCUUAUGAGAUAUCAAAGUUUCUGGGUUCCGGGGGGAGUAUGAUCGCAAGUUUGGAACUUAAAGGAAUUGACGGAAGGGCACCACCAGGAGUGGAGCCUGCGGCUUAAUUUGACUCAACACGGGGAAACUCACCAGGUCCAGACAUAAUAAGGAUUGACAGAUUGAUAGCUCUUUCUUGAUUUUAUGGGUGGUGGUGCAUGGCCGUUCUUAGUUCGUGGAGUGAUUUGUCUGCUUAAUUGCGUUAACGAACGAGACCUUAACCUGCUAAAUAGAAGCGCCUAUCCUCGGAUAAGCGCCUUUCUUCUUAGAGGGACUUUUAUGCGUUUCAGCAUAGGGAAGUUUGACGCUAAAACAGGUCUGUGAUGCCCUUCGAUGUUCUGGGCUGCACGCGCGCUACACUGUUGCGUUCAACGAGUGUACAACCUUGCCGAUAGGGUUGGGUAACCUUUUGACACGCAACGUGAUGGGGAUAGAGUAUUGUAACUAUUACUCUUCAACGAGGAA
rnacentral:rRNA from 1 species